AACGAACGCUGGCGGCAGGCUUAACACAUGCAAGUCGAACGGGUGUAGCAAUACAUCAGUGGCAGACGGGUGAGUAACACGUGGGAACCUUCCUAGGGGUACGGAACAACUCAGGGAAACUUGAGCUAAUACCGUAUACGUCCGUGAGGAGAAAGAUUUAUCGCCCUUAGACGGGCCCGCGUCGGAUUAGCUAGUUGGUGGGGUAACGGCCUACCAAGGCGACGAUCCGUAGCUGAUCUUAGAGGAUGAUCAGCCACACUGGGACUGAGACACGGCCCAGACUCCUACGGGAGGCAGCAGUGGGGAAUCUUGGACAAUGGGCGCAAGCCUGAUCCAGCCAUGCCGCGUGAGUGAAGAAGGUCUUCGGAUUGUAAAGCUCUUUUGCCAGGGACGAUAAUGACGGUACCUGGAGAAUAAGCCCCGGCUAACUUCGUGCCAGCCGCCGCAGUAAAAC
rnacentral:rRNA from 1 species